GACUUUUUCGCUCGGGCAUGCGCUGUAGGUGCUUGUACAGUGUACUGUGUUGAUAUCAUCAGUGAUUUUCCUUUUGCAUUUCUCCCCGUCAUUUUCUGUCUUUAUGAUUUUCUGAAUAAUAAAGGAUUUUGUUAAGGGGUUCUGAGAUAUAGCUCAUCUAAUUUCAACUUAUAAAGACUAAAAAGUCUAUGGAAUUGAUCCUUUUUAUUUUCAUCUCUCUACGGAUUUUAUGUUAGAUGUCCAGCUGAACGCUUCGCAGUUUUUUUAUGUUCGUUUUCAGCU
rnacentral:misc_RNA from 1 species